rnacentral:misc_RNA from 1 species
CAGAGUUGCAAAACUCCCAACCCUUUGUGAACGUACUGAAAAGUUGCCUUCGGCGGGAGGCUCCUCAGGGAGCGGACCGCCGGAGGAAUCCAAACUCUUGUUUUUUUGGCAUCUCUGAGUAGCUUAUAAAUAAGUU